UAUAAAUUUUAUUAUGGUUUUAAAAUUAAUUAUUUUAAUUAAUUUUAUAUAAAUUUUAAAAUUAAAUAUUUAAUUUAAUUAAAUUUUAUAAUUAAUAAAAUAAAUGAAAGUUUAAUUUAGUAAUUAAAUUUAAUAAAGAUUAAUUUAAGUGCCAGCAAUAGCGGUUAAACUUAAUUUAUAAGUUAAUUUAUUUUAAUUUAUAUUGAAAAUUAUUUAUAAAUUUUAAUAAUUAAAAUUAAUUUUAGUGAAAUGAAAAAAUUAAUUUUUAAAUAUAUUUAUUAAAUUUAUUUUUUUAUAAGAUUUUAAUUUAAAACUAGGAUUAGAUACCCUAUUAUAUAAAAUUUUUUAAAUUAAUUAAUAAUUAAAUGUUAAUCAUUAAAAUUAAAUAAUAUGGCGGCUUUUUAAUUUAUUUAGAGAAAUUUAUAUAUUUAUAUGAUAAUCCACGUUAAGAUUUACUAAAAUUUAGUUAAUGUAUUGCUGUUUUAAAAAUUUAUAAUUAUAUUAUUUUUAUUAAUUUAAAUUAAUUAAAUAGAAUUCAAGUCAAAAUAUUGCAUAUUUUAGUUUAUAUGAGUUGCAAUAAAUUUUAUUUAAAAAUUAUUAUUUUUAAUUAUUGAUAUGAAGUUGAAUUUAAAAGUAAAAAUGUUUUAAUUUAAAAUAUUGAAGUUAAUUAUAUUAAGUGUACAAAUCGCCCGUCAUUUUUAUUUAAUUUAAAAAUAAAAAAAGUCGUAACAUAGUAAAAAUAUUGGAAAAUAUUUUUUGAUUAAA
rnacentral:rRNA from 1 species